GAUUAAAUUGAUGUAGAAAGUGUUCCUAGACCUUAGAUAAUGUUUAGGACGAACUUUGGAAUCAGUAUUAGGCUUAGAACCAUGAGAAUCGUCGAAUUUUUGUGGAAAUAGCAGGUCUGGCCGUAGCGAAAUUCAUCGCUCGCCACGGCGAGCUAUGAGUUUCGCCUCGCGAGUGAUGAACAUUCAUCGCUCGCCUCGCGAACCCUUUUCCCUCGCCUCGCGAGUUGUGCAAUGCAGCUCGCCACGGCGAGCAACCUUACUCGCCAUAGCGAGCUAAGGCAGAGAGCAUGUAGGAUUUUGCAAUUUCGACUUUUUAGUUGGACCUUGAGUGCCAUUGUGUGCCUGAACAUACCUAGUAAUGAUUAGGAAUGAAUGUAGGACAAGAUUGAACCUAGAACACCAUUAGUUUGGAAAUUGACUGGUACUCGCCU
rnacentral:lncRNA from 1 species